UUCAGGUGUACUCCAGGGAGGGGAGAGGGGCUGGAGGUUGAAUCAACUAACUGCCAGCAACUGAAGAUUUAAUCAGUCAUGUCUUAGGUAAUGAAGCAUCCAUAAAACCCCAAAUGAAUGGGGCUUGGAGAGGUUCCAAGUUGGUGAACGCAUGGAGAUUUGGAGAGAGUAGUACGCUGGGAUAGGACAUGGAAACUCAGCGCUCCUUCCCCAUACCUUACCCUAUGGAUCUCUUUCUGAAUCCUCAGGCGGUUCCUGAAUUACAGCUGUUUAUAAUACACCAGUAAUCUACCAACAGGAUUUAUAUAAGAGGAAAAGAAGAAAAAAGGAAGAAGGAGAAAACACCAACUACGUGGAAAUGUGACCUGUUUUCAUGUCCUUGGGUAAAUUGGUGAUUGGCUGGCAACUCUCUGGAACUGGUUGGGGUCUUCUGCCUUGGACAGCUGGAUAGAUCAUUGGAGAAGACAAUUUCAGUUAUGAUGGAGUCUUUGAAAAACCUCAAGAUUUUUUAACCAUAAAAUAUACCUGCCAGGCUAUUCCUCAAAA